rnacentral:rRNA from 1 species
CAUCGGAACGUGACGGUACCCUAUAAGAAAGCCCCGGCUAACUUCGUGCCAGCAGCCGCGGUAAUACGAGGGGGGCAAGCGUUGUCCGGAUUUAUUGGGCGUAAAGAGUUCGUAGGCGGAUCAGUCAGUCGAAAUUGAAAUCCCAUGGCUUAACCAUGGUCCCGGUUUCGAUACUACUGAUCUUGAGUGAGGUAGAGGUAAGCGGAAUUCCUGGUGUAGCGGUGAAAUGCGUAGAUAUCAGGAGGAACACCAAAGGCGAAGGCAGCUUACUGGGCCUAUACUGACGCUGAGGAACGAAAGCGUGGGGAGCAAACAGGAUUAGAGACCCUGGUAGUCCACGCCGUAAACGAUGAGUACUUGGUGGUGGGGGAUUCGACCCCUUCACUGUCGGAGCUAACGCGUUAAGUACUCCGCCUGGGAACUACGACCGCAAGGUUGAAACUCAAAGGAAUUGACGGGGACCCGCACAAGCGGUGGAUUAUGUGGUUUAAUUCGAUGCAACGCGAAGAACCUUACCUGGACUUGACAUGUUAGUGAAACUCCGGUGAAAGCCGGAGCUUCCGCGAGCUUGCUCAAGGACACUAUCACAGGUGAUGCAUGGCUGUCGUCAGCUCGUGUCGUGAGAUGUUCGGUUAAGUCCGAUAACGAGCGCAACCCCUAUCCUUAGUUGCCAGCACGUAAUGGUGGGGACUCUAGGGAAACUGCCCGGGAUAACCGGAAGGAAGGUGGGGUCGACGUCAAGUCAGUAUGUCCCUUACGUUCAGGGCUACACACGUAAUACAAUGGAGAGUACAGAGGGUAGCAAAACUGCGAAGGGGAGCCAAUCCCAAAAAACUUUCCCAAGUUCAGAUUGCAGUCUGCAACUCGACUGCAUGAAGCAGGAAUCGCUAGUAAUCGCGCAUCAGCAUGGCGCGGUGAAUACGUUCCCGGGUCUUGUACACACCGCCCGUCACGCCAUGGAAGCCGGUAGCACCCAAUGUCAGUGUCCUAACCUUCGGGGAGGAGCUGCUUAAGGUGAGAUUGGUAACUGGGGCGAAGUCGUAACAAGGUAGCCGUACCGGAAGGUGCGGCUG